GUGACGGUACCCUACCAGAAAGGGACGGCUAACUACGUGCCAGCAGCCGCGGUAAUACGUAGGUCCCGAGCGUUGUCCGGAUUUAUUGGGCGUAAAGGGAGCGCAGGCGGUUUAGUAAGUCUGAAGUUAAAGGCAUUGGCUCAACCAAUGUAUGCUUUGGAAACUGUUAGACUUGAGUGCAGAAGGGGAGAGUGGAAUUCCAUGUGUAGCGGUGAAAUGCGUAGAUAUAUGGAGGAACACCGGUGGCGAAAGCGGCUCUCUGGUCUGUCACUGACGCUGAGGCUCGAAAGCGUGGGUAGCGAACAGGAUUAGAUACCCUGGUAGUCCACGCCGUAAACGCUGAGUGCUAGGUGUUAGGUCCUUUCCGGGACUUAGUGCCGACGCUAACGCAUUAAGCACUCCGCCUGGGGAGUACGACCGCAAGGUUGAAACUCAAAGGAAUUGACGGGGGCCCGCACAAGCGGUGGAGCAUGUGGUUUAAUUCGAAGCAACGCGAAGAACCUUACCAGGUCUUGACAUCCCGAUGCCCGCUCUAGAGAUAGAGUUUUUCUUCGGAACAUCGGAGACAGGUGGUGCAUGGUUGUCGUCAGCUCGUGUCGUGAGAUGUUGGGUUAAGUCCCGCAACGAGCGCAACCCUUAUUGUUAGUUGCCAUCAUUAAGUUGGGCACUCUAGCGAGACUGCCGGUAAUAAACCGGAGGAAGGUGGGGAUGACGUCAAAUCAUCAUGCCCCUUAUGACCUGGGCUACACACGUGCUACAAUGGUUGGUACAACGAGUCGCAAGCCGGUGACGGCAAGCUAAUCUCUGAAAGCCAAUCUCAGUUCGGAUUGUAGGCUGCAACUCGCCUACAUGAAGUCGGAAUCGCUAGUAAUCGCGGAUCAGCACGCCGCGGUGAAUACGUUCCCGGGCCUUGUACACACCGCCCGUCACACCACGAGAGUUUGUAACACCCAAAGUCGGUGAGGUAACCAUUUAUGGGGCCAGCCGCCUAAGGUGGGAUGGAUGAUUGGGGUGAAGUCGUAACAAGGUAGCCGUAUCGGAAGGUGCGGCUG
rnacentral:rRNA from 1 species